UGGUGGAGAGCUCCGCUGAG
rnacentral:misc_RNA from 1 species